ACUUAUUCACUUAGGUUAAUUUGCAAAUGAAAAAAUUCCCACCCUUCCCAAUUUUCAUUCCCCGCCUUUGUUUCUCUCACAAGUCAGAGCUUACUUCCUUCUCGCUGCUUGUUGCCCCCAACACCGCCCACCCGCGUUUCUCCCCCACUGCCCCAACACCGCCCACCGUGUUUCUCCCCCAACACGGCCCACCUGCAAAGCACCACCGUGUCGUGGCUUCCAUAUCUCCCCAACCCGCGUUUGUCCCCCGCUGCGCGACUGAAGCCGUGUCUCUUACUGCUGGAAGCCGCCCCAUGUUUCUCCGACUCGCUUACUGCUGGAAGCCUCCCCGCAACCGGCAACCGCCUCAUCUCCUCUCCUCUACUACGCGCACUGCCGCCGUCGAUUGGUCUCCUCUCGCUGCCCACCACUAGGGCGUAUUAAAGCUUGCAGAAAGGCUACCUUAGUGAUUAUAAGCUUGUAAAGGGAGUUCAAGUUACAUAUGAGUUGAAUCGGUAAAUGCGGAACUGUGUCGAGAGGAUGUACUUGAACAUUAGUGAGUAUUCCUUUUUUGUAACCAGUAGUGUAAUUUUUUAAUUGAAGAUGUUUAGAUAAUCUUCCUAUAUUGAUCAAUAUGAGUUAGGUGAAUGAAAGGUUAUACCUAAUUGGCAGCAAAUUGCAAAUAUAAGGUCCUCAUAAAGUUGAGUAAGUUCAUAAAAUUGCAAAUUCAUUGUUUUUGUCCACCGGAAAGUUGAGUUCCUCCUUGUCCCACCUCAAGUCAUUAACAUCCAUAGUGUUAACUGUGCUUCAGAUUGUAUAUUGUUGAAAGUUCAGAGUUUGUAGCCUUUUUUUGUUACUUUCAGUUGGCAGUAACUUCACUGUAUACUUCACUACAUACUCCUUGAUACCUUGCUAGUAGCUGAUGUUUGUGCCGAAGUAACUUCACUGCAUACUCCUUGACACCUUGCUGGUAGCUAAUGUUUGUGCCUAAGUAAUGUGCAUUGUCAUCAUUCAGAGUGUAGUUGGGGGAAUCAGAGAAAAGGUGCAUGAUUUUGAUUUGAAAGAAGAUACAUACAUCAAGGAUGGAUGUUGAAAACUGUAUGACUGACCUGAGAAUGGUCUCAUGUCCUACCCAAAGCAUCACUUAUUGGGGUAACAUUGCUCCAAACAUUAGAUUAUAUUUCUAUUAUUCCCUCUCACUCUCUCAAGUACAAUUCCUCCAAACUCAUUCUUUCUUUCCAUAAGCAUCAUAUUAUAACUCUCCUGCAUAGUAUAUCACUCUUCUUCUGUUGAAUACGUCAGACGUAGGGGUUACCACUCCUUGGAACCACUUCAUAGCUGACAGCACAACAGAUGUCCUGUGGCCUAGGAGUUAUCGCGUGAAGUUGCAACUAGGUGAACAAUAACCAGAGUAAUCAAAGCUUGAUCUGAAUCUACGGCUCUUAUUGACUUUCAAGUAACCUUCCUGCUUCACAACCCAUGUUAUUAAUCAAGCAUCAAGUGGACAACUUCAAGUGAACCAAGCCUCUGCAAAUUUCAAGUCCAGGUCAAUAGCUUCCAGAUUAAGAUUGAGAGUGAUCCUAAGAACAAACAGGGUUUGUACAGAAGGCAUUACGGCCAGAGCCAAUACAAUUCGCGUGAGGUUUGCCUAUUUUUUUUAAUAAACUGGACCACUUUUUGAGUUAAAGAGAGUACAUUGUACAAGGUAUAAAAGAUUGGAAGAGUCCAAAAGAUUUUCUGCAAUAAAUAGUUUUUUUCCUUUUUGCCAUGAUACUUAAUACUGACAGGGAAAAUUCUCUCUUCAAAUAAGUUAUGGUUUGUUACUCGAACUUGUAUAUGAGUUAGAUUUUCUUCAAAUAAUCAUUUUCUUUCCUUUCCUUUUUCAAUUUGGGAGGGCCAGUAUUAGAUGUCCAAAACUGCUAGAGACGGGAUCCCAAACCAAAUAAUUUUAUUUCUAUGUUAAAAUACUUGCACAUUUGUAGCCAAGAUUGAUGUAUCAUGUAUUACUGUUGAUUUUGAUUUUGGCCAGUUAUAGAGAGUGGAAUAUCGCUACUACGUACUGUCAGUUUGGUUAAUAAGCUAGGAAGCCAGGUAAUGGGCAUAUUUGUUAAACCGCAUAUUACCUUUCCUAAUAAUCUUCUCAUUUGCAUGCUUUAUUCUAAAUUACCUUUCAGAUUCAUGUUCGUAUUUAACUAUGCAGGCUCAUAAAGAUUCCAGUUAUAGAGUACUCUUUAUUUCAUUUUAAGGAUUGUUAUGUCUGUUAGGGUUUUUUUAUGACAAACGUUUGCAAAGUUUUCAAGUGAGGUUGUCUACUGGAAGAGUGGACUAGUAUUGAGACUGUAGUAAGCUUCUUUUUCUUUUAAUUUUCCUUUUCUAGUUUUUGCUAUGUUUUCUGUGUGUUUCUGCUCUGUAUGCUUCUGCUGCUGCUCUGUAAGUUAUUGUUUCUGCUUUGCUUCUUCUGUUUUCUUGCCAGAUGGAUUGUGGGGUUCUCUUUCACCGCAACUUCACUGUUGCGAAACUUAUAAAGAACGGUUCUCGUACUUCAAGCUGUUCUACACUGACUUCCGAUGUUUCAAAAACAGUCAAUAAAAUACAUCGCUGCAUCAUAUACGUUGCUAAAGCAACAUUCUUAUGCUGUGAAGAGGCCUGCCCCCCAGAUAUUGCUCACUGUGAUAGCGUUCUAAACUCGACUUGCCAUGUUGUUGUGCGCAUAAUUUGGCUAUGGCUAGGACAAAUCAGUUUUGUGCAAAAACCGCACUUGACUUUAAUAACGCGAAACAUGGCACUACGUAUGAGCUGGUGGCAUCUUUGGUUAGCAAUAUUGUUCCCAUAAGGUAUGGUAUCUAUAAGGUUAGCUGCAACUUCACAGCCAAGCUUCAGAACCUUUGCAGCUGUAAUGAUACUUCACAUUUUUUGACUGAGGUUUGAUCAUUGCCCUGGGACAAAGCAUCUUUUUGGUGAAUCGGUGUACUCUGAACGCAACAUGGAUUAAACUGGGGACUAUCACAUUUUGGAUAGUAAGAUCAUUGCUGGUGUGGUUACUUCAUUCGGUAAUAUACCUCUUAUUUUUGGUUUGGAUUAUCGAUCUGCUUGUUUCAGCUGCUGAAGGUCUGGAUUAUCACACUUAAAAAUGCUAACAGGGUGUUGUUCUUCUGAAUUCCGUUCGAUCCUUGUGGUUACAUACUUAGAUGAAUGUGAAAGUUGUCGGGCUCUGCUAGAGGCCUGUUUCCUUUCUGUAUAUAAUUUGUUAAAAUGCUCAUGUUAGUUCUCUAUGUUAACUAAUACUGUUCUACAAUAUUUAAAUUUUGAAUUCUUUACUUGUAAAUUUUUUGGAUUACUAUUGAAUAAAGUUUACUUUAUAUUCAAGAUCAAUAUUCUAGUUUUUAUUA